CUUCUCAAAGUGCUGGGAUUACAGGCGUGAGCCACCGCGCCUGGCCAGGGGUUGAUGGGCUCAGCUGGGUGAUUUCUGCUUGACGUUUCCUAUAUACCUGCAUUUGGAUGGCUGCUGAGGGAAGAGUCAUCUGAAUACCUUUCCCUCACAUGUUAAGCAUCUGGGCUAGAACAGCUAUGGAGUGAGAACAAAAAGUUUUCAGCCAGCUUUUAUUUACCUUAAAAUAGGCCUUCUCUACAUGCCCACCAGCAUGUCUCAGACAUAUCACAGAAGCUAUGAAAAGCCACAGACAUAAAGAGGCCAUGCAGAGAGGAACAGUGGCCAGGUAAUGUCUAUGAACAGAUGAUCAAUGACCAGAAGGACUUCUUCAAUGCCUUAGCCCUGUGUAGAAAAUCCCUAAACUAUGACUCAUCAGGAGGUGAGGUGACAAGAAGUAGAAACCCUCAAUAUAAAUUUCUGCCAGCCCUGCAGAAUAAGGACUGUGAAUAUAGUACAUUAAAUCAUGUGGUAGACUUCAUAGGUCUACAUACACUCUGCUCUAAAAUAUAGAAAUAUCUCCAUUUAUUCAAUAAGUGUUUUAUUUAGUACAUAUUUUUUUGAUAGUCACUGAAAUAGCAGACAUGGUUUCUACUUGUGGGACUCUAACAGGCCAGGAAUUAAAUAAAUCAUCAUACUAUCACCUGCUUAGUUACGAUAAUGAAAAAUACCAUGAAGGACAAGGAAAAGGUGUGCUGAGGCAUUAUAACAGGGACCUAAUCUAGACCAGGAGCUCAGGUAACCUCUUUGACAAAAUGAUACUGAGGGAGAGAGGCAGUUUUCAGAAAAAGUGUCCAAAGAGAGGUACACGUUUUACGAUUUUGAAGUCGAUGAGGACAGUGAUGGAGUUGGACUAUGUUUCAUAAGAAGUUGUUGUGGAAAUAAAGAACAUAUUUUUACUUUGGAAUUAAAAGGUUUAACCGCUAAAAACUAGAAAUUUUAGUUUAGCAAAUAAAUAUGGAAGAAAAUAAUACAAGUGUCUUGCAAAAAAUGCCUCUACAAUAAUUUUUUAGUGAUUGUUCUAAUAGCGCAAAUUCAAAACUACCUAAAUAUCCCACCGUAGUGAAUUAUUUAAAUAAAUAUGGUACAAACACCCAGUAGAGUACUAUACAGCUUUAAAAAUGUGGUUGUAGGUAAUUGAUUAAUUGAUUGUACGAAAAAGCUGAAAAUAAUAUCCUAUUUUAUGAAAAAAUUUAAUAAAGCGAUAUAUGUUGACAUAGAAAAUCAGGUUACUAAGAUUACUUCUGAGCAGUAAGGUCAUUUUCUUCAUUUAGCAUGUCUGAAUUUUCUAAUUUUUCUCCAAAGUUUUGUACCAAGGGAAAAAAUGAGAAGAGUACAUCUUAAUUUUAAAAAGUCAUUAAACCUGUAAUAUUUUGCCUGGAUAUAAAAAGUCUUGGUGGUAGGGGUCAUAAGACCGGGGAAAAGAAGGUGGUAGCUGGGGAGGACUUGUGUCCGUGUUUAUAUUCAACACCUUCCCUGAGAACAAGAAAAGAGACUUUUUAACCUUCUGCCGAAAGGCAGAAUCAGAAUAAAAGUAUGAUGUUAUACAGCAGGAAAUUCCACUUCUGAAGAAGAAGAGUUUCUCUGGCGGAAGCAGAGACAUCCAAUGGGAUGAGGCUGCCUGAACACAGGGUGGGAUCCUGCUAUGUGAACAGCACAACUGCCCUAGAAGGCACAGGGAUCAAAGGUGGCAUGAGGGACUUCUGUAUAGGAGUUAGCAGUCCCCUGGAGGAGGCUGUAGAAUGUCCAGUGAGCUGCAAAUUUGGGUGCCAGAGUAUCUGCUGGGGUGUGGGAAGAAAAUGUUAGAUUUCUA